UACGUAGGGGGCAAGCGUUGUCCGGAAUUAUUGGGCGUAAAGCGCUCGCAGGCGGUCUUUUAAGUCUGAUGUGAAAGCCCACGGCUCAACCGUGGAGGGUCAUUGGAAACUGGAGGACUUGAGUACAGAAGAGGAGAGUGGAAUUCCACGUGUAGCGGUGAAAUGCGUAGAGAUGUGGAGGAACACCAGUGGCGAAGGCGACUCUCUGGUCUGUAACUGACGCUGAGGCGCGAAAGCGUGGGUAGCAAACAGG
rnacentral:rRNA from 1 species